UACGUAGGGGGCAAACGUUGUCCGGAAUCAUUGGGCGUAAAGAGCGUGUAGGCGGUCCGGUAAGUCGGUUGUGAAAGUCCAGGGCUCAACCCUGGGAUGCCGACCGAUACUGUCGGACUAGAGUUCGGAAGAGGCGAGUGGAAUUCCCGGUGUAGCGGUGAAAUGCGCAGAUAUCGGGAGGAACACCUAUGGCGAAGGCAGCUCGCUGGGACGUUACUGACGCUGAGACGCGAAAGCGUGGGGAGCGAACAGG
rnacentral:rRNA from 1 species